GAUGAACGCUGGCGGCGUGCCUAAUACAUGCAAGUCGAGCGAAUGGAUUAAGAGCUUGCUCUUAUGAAGUUAGCGGCGGACGGGUGAGUAACACGUGGGUAACCUGCCCAUAAGACUGGGAUAACUCCGGGAAACCGGGGCUAAUACCGGAUAACAUUUUGAACCGCAUGGUUCGAAAUUGAAAGGCGGCCUCGGCUGUCACUUAUGGAUGGACCCGCGUCGCAUUAGCUAGUUGGUGAGGUAACGGCUCACCAAGGCAACGAUGCGUAGCCGACCUGAGGGGGUGAUCGGCCACACUGGGACUGAGACACGGCCCAGACUCCGACGGGAGGCAGCAGUAGGGAAUCUUCCGCAAUGGACGAAAGUCUGACGGAGCAACGCCGCGUGAGUGAUGAAGGCUUUCGGGUCGUAAAACUCUGUUGUUAGGGAAGAACAAGUGCUAGUUGAAUAAGCUGGCACCUUGACGGUACCUAACCAGAAAGCCACGGCUAACUACGUGCCAGCCGCCGCGGUAA
rnacentral:rRNA from 1 species